UAUACGGAGAGGGCUGAGUCGUUAUUCGGAAUUAUUGGGCGUAAAGGGCGCGUAGGCUGGUUAAUAAGUUAAAAGUGAAAUCCCGAGGCUUAACCUUGGAAUUGCUUUUAAAACUAUUAAUCUAGAGAUUGAAAGAGGAUAGAGGAAUUCCUGAUGUAGAGGUAAAAUUCGUAAAUAUUAGGAGGAACACCAGUGGCGAAGGCGUCUAUCUGGUUCAAAUCUGACGCUGAAGCGCGAAGGCGUGGGGAGCAAACAGGAUUAGAUACCCUGGUAGUCCACGCUGUAAACGAUGAGUGCUAA
rnacentral:rRNA from 1 species